AGCUUUCGAGUCAUAUCGUCAUCAAUGGCUUCUGAUUCCAAAGAAUCAGCCUCCAACAAUCCUGGCCUCCACACCUCUCCUGAUGGAGCCACUAAAGGGUACAUCAUGCAACAAACUAUGUAUCGAAUUAAGGAUCCGAAAGUCAGUCUUGAUUUCUACUCUCGUGUAUUGGGCAUGUCGUUACUUAAAAGGUUGGAUUUUCCAGAGAUGAAGUUUAGCUUGUACUUCAUGGGCUAUGAGAAGUUAUUCUUCUUCAUGCAAUUCCAAGAUCCAGCGUCAGCUCCAAGCAAUUCAGUUGAUCGUACUGUUUGGACCUUUGGUCGGAAGGCUACAAUUGAACUCACACAUAAUUGGGGUACUGAAAGUGAUCCUGAUUUCAAAGGUUACCACAAUGGGAACUCUGAACCUCGCGGCUUUGGACACAUAGGCAUUACCGUUGAUGAUACUUACAAGGCAUGUGACAGAUUUGAACGUUUGGGAGUGGAAUUUGUGAAAAAACCUGAUGAUGGGAAGAUGAAAGGGAUAGCAUUCAUUAAGGAUCCUGAUGGCUAUUGGAUUGAAAUCUUUGACCUUAAGAGAAUUGGAAAUGUAACUACUGGUUGAUGUUUUUGCUCUCACAUAUUUCAGAUUCAAGAUCACAUCUAUAAAAAGCAAAUGAGUUCAAAAAGCAUAAAGCUGUAAAGAACAAGAUUCAAACAAGCAACUCAAAAAGAAGAAAGCAAGAUUACCUUGAAGCUUGAAACGAUCAUGGACAAGGCUUGAAGAAAGGGGUAAAUAGCUUGGAAAGUGGAUAAAAUACCUAGGCUUCGAAGUUUCAUUCUGUAUGUUGGUUAUCUCCAGUAGCUUGGCUUUGGGAAUGACAUUCUGAUAUUGAACAUCUGUUUUUAUUUCAAUGCGAGUGUGUGGUCUUUCCUUGUCCUGGAUUAUAUUUAUAUAAUUAGCAUUGUUGCAAAUGAAAUAAAGUACUAAUGUCUGUGGAGUAUAUAGCCUUUGAUUCCCAAUUUGUGUAACCAUUGGAGAAUCCAUUUCUAAGCUCUGUGCCCUUGUAUAUAAUGUUGGAGUUUUAACUAAAUGCAGUUUUUUUUUUUUUUUUC